rnacentral:rRNA from 1 species
GACGAACGCUGGCGGCGUGCUUAACACAUGCAAGUCGAACGGAAAGGCCCAGCUUUUGUGGGGUGCUCGAGUGGCGAACGGGUGAGUAACACGUGAGUAACCUGCCCUUGACUUUGGGAUAACUUCAGGAAACUGGGGCUAAUACCGGAUAGGAGCUCCUGCUGCAUGGUGGGGGUUGGAAAGUUUCGGCGGUUGGGGAUGGACUCGCGGCUUAUCAGCUUGUUGGUGGGGUAGUGGCUUACCAAGGCUUUGACGGGUAGCCGGCCUGAGAGGGUGACCGGCCACAUUGGGACUGAGUUACGGCCCAGACUCCUACGGGAGGCAGCAGUGGGGAAUAUUGCCCAAUGGGCGGAAGCCUGAUGCAGCAACGCCGCGUGCGGGAUGACGGCCUUCGGGUUGUAAACCGCUUUCGCCUGUGACGAAGCGUGAGUGACGGUAAUGGGUAAAGAAGCACCGGCUAACUACGUG